rnacentral:rRNA from 1 species
GACGAACGCUGGCGGCGUGCUUAACACAUGCAAGUCGAGCGGUAAGGCCCUUUCGGGGGUACACGAGCGGCGAACGGGUGAGUAACACGUGGGUGACCUGCCCUUAGCUCUGGGAUAAGCCUGGGAAACCGGGUCUAAUACCGGAUAUGACUCCAUAACGCAUGUUGUGGGGUGGAAAGCCUUGUGCGGCUAGGGAUGGGCCCGCGGCCUAUCAGCUUGUUGGUGGGGUGAUGGCCUACCAAGGCGACGACGGGUAGCCGGCCUGAGAGGGCGACCGGCCACACUGGGACUGAGACACGGCCCAGACUCCUACGGGAGGCAGCAGUGGGGAAUCUUGCGCGAUGGGCGAAAGCCUGACGCAGCGACGCCGCGUGGGGAUGAC